rnacentral:rRNA from 1 species
UACGUAGGGUGCAAGCGUUAAUCGGAAUUACUGGGCGUAAAGCGUGCGCAGGCGGUUUUGUAAGACUGUCGUGAAAUCCCCGGGCUCAACCUGGGAAUGGCGAUGGUGACUGCAAGGCUAGAGUUUGGCAGAGGGGGGGGUAGAAUUCCACGUGUAGCAGUGAAAUGCGUAGAUAUGUGGAGGAACACCGAUGGCGAAGGCAGCCCCCUGGGUCAAAACUGACGCUCAUGCACGAAAGCGUGGGGAGCAAACAGG